rnacentral:lncRNA from 1 species
UCAACCAACAAGACAUGAUUGACGUCUAGCAACGUAUCAUGUCUACCCGAAAGAUGAGGAAUGUAUUGGACAAAUCCAAACAUACCCUUCAGUGGCAAGUUACUGUGCAAUUCAAUCCCUCAGUCAUACUACAUCCUGAAUAAGUGCAUGAUUAUGGAUCAAUAUCAAACUCAAUCACUUAUUCAUGUCUCUCUCAAUCUUUUAUAUGAUAAUUCAAACAAUGAAACAUUAGAAACUCUUUCUAAUAUUCAUUUUGCUUUGAUCAAAGGCUUCUUGAAUCAUCAUAAGAUUAGAGUAAGUAGGAUGUUACAUUCUCUUACUAGAAGUGACUGAUUCCUUGUUGACCUACUCACAACCUUCGGACAAAAUCCACCAUAUCUAGAAUACCCCGUACACAACGCAAUGUCGUGAAUGAGGGUAAACCAAAACAUAGCUUCAAGUGCACAAGGUACAAUGGUGAUCUCAGGUCUAAGGAUCACUUGCACAACUCCCACUAUGAGAACCAUCUUUUGAUAAUUAAGUAAGCAUUCAUAAGAUGUUCUCAUGGCUGGUCAUUUCAGUGAACUCAUUCCUCUAAUGAGCACCCACAUCUUUGUAUUAGUGUCUCACACAAGUGAUUGUGAGAUCAAUCACCCUCUACAUUGAGCAUACAUA